rfam:Schistosoma mattheei strain Denwood, Zambia genome assembly, scaffold: SMTD_scaffold0005192
AUCCAGAUGACGAGUCUCAAAUAGGAUGAAACGCGUGUUCUGAAU